rnacentral:lncRNA from 1 species
CAAGAGCUUGCGGUGGCUGGGGCUGCGCUGGGGGUGCCGAAAGGUGGCCGUGUGAGAAUGCUGACCCUGAGCUACAUAACCGCCUGGUCCUCAGAAGUGCCUGGAGUGGCUGUGGAAGAAAAAAAGGCAGAAGCCACAGCUGGCCCCUGGGAACCGAAGAUGGUAGAAUGCCAGGCAUGCAUCAGAGGACCAGCUGAGACCUUUGCAAUCCUGAAAGACUUAAGUGAAGAUGACUACUUGGUUCACAUUGGCUAAAAGAGCCCUUUAAGUCUGUACAUUAGCAAGAAUGGGGAGGCAAAGGCGUCUUCUGUCUUCAGGUCUAGCUUUUGCCUGCUUCGAGGACUCUUCCUGUUCUGCUACUGGCAGGUUGGACCAGAGGCUCAGCAGCUCUCUGAAGCUCCAGUAACAGGCGCCACCUCCAGCAGCUGAGAAAG